AACGAACGCUGGCGGCAGGCUUAACACAUGCAAGUCGAGCGCCCCGCAAGGGGAGCGGCAGACGGGUGAGUAACGCGUGGGAAUCUACCGAGCCCUAAGGAAUAGCUCCGGGAAACUGGAAUUAAUACCUUAUACGCCCUUUGGGGAAAGAUUUAUCGGGGUUUGAUGAGCCCGCGUUGGAUUAGCUAGUUGGUGGGGUAAAAGGCCUACCAAGGCGACGAUCCAUAGCUGGUCUGAGAGGAUGAUCAGCCACAUUGGGGACUGAGACACGGCCCAAACUCCUACGGGAGGCAGCAGUGGGGAAUAUUGGACAAUGGGCGCAAGCCUGAUCCAGCCAUGCCGCGUGAGUGAUGAAAGGCCCCUAGGGUUGUAAAAGCUCUUUCACCGGUGAAGAUAAUGACGGUAACCGGAGAAGAAGCCCCCUGGCUAANUUCGUUGCCAGCAGCCGCGUAAUACGAAGGGGUC
rnacentral:rRNA from 1 species